GGGGGCGAAAUGGUCUCGACGGGGGCAGGAGCCUCCGGGAAGCGAGCCGGGGUUCGCCGGACUCCUCGUAAAAAAGUCCGGACAAAAGAUAAGUGCCAACGAAGAACUUGCUCUCGCUGCUUAAUUAGAAUAAGCAGCCGUCCUUCCUAAUCCUGGCUGGGGAUUAGAGAAGGGCGUGAUAUAACCAGCCUACUGGUCCCGGAAGUGCCUUCCGUCCUGGGCCGGGAAUCUUUAGGAAGGCUAAGGUUUGAAGAGCCUGUCCGUGGGCGCUUCGAACCUGAAUUUUAAAACACGGACUGCGCUCGGAGAAACCCGGAGGACCCUGUCUUCGGACGCGGGUUCGAUUCCCGCCGCCUCCACCA
rnacentral:tmRNA from 1 species